rnacentral:rRNA from 1 species
UAGUAAGUCAGUGGUGUAAUGGCAACGCUUAACGUUGUCCGGGCUAUUGAAACUGCUAAACUUGAGUUAGAUAGAGGCGAGUGGAAUUCCAUGUGUAGCGGUAAAAUGCGUAAAUAUAUGGAGGAACACCAGAGGCGUAGGCGGCUCGCUGGGUCUUAACUGACGCUGAGGCACGAAAGCGUGGGGAGCAAACAGGAUUAGAUACCCUGGUAGUCCACGCCGUAAACGAUGAAGUACUAAGUGUCGGGGUUUAACCCCGGUACUGAAGUUUAACACAUUAAGUACUCCCGCCUUGAGUAGUACCGUACGCAAGUAUGAAACUUUAAAGGAAUUGACGGGACUCCGCACAAGCGGUGGAUCCAUGUUGUUUAAUUCGAAGAUACCCGAAAAACCUUACCAGGGUCUUUGACAUGUUUUUGGCAAAAUGAUAGUAAUAUCGUGGAGGUUACCAGAAACACAGGUGGUGCAUGGUUGUCGUCAGCUCGUGUCGUGAGAUGUUAGGUUAAGUCCUAAAACGAGCGAAACCCUUUAUCGUUUAGUUGCCAGCACGUUAUGGGGGGGGACUUUUAACCGAGCCCUGCCAAUGAUAAAUUGAAGAAAGGGUGAGGAUCACGGUCAAAUCAAGCAUGCCCCUUAUGACUUGGGCUACAAACGUGAUACAAUGGCUGUUACAAAGGGUAGCUGAAACGCAAGUUUUUGGCCAAUCCCCAAAAACAGUCCCAGUCCGGAUUGAAGUCUGCAACUCGACUUCAUGAAGUUGGAAUCGCUAGUAAUCGCGAAUCAGCAUGUCGCGGUGAAUACGUUCUCGGGGUUUGUACACACCGCCCGUCAAACCACGAAAGUUGGCAAUACCCCAAAACGGUAGCCUAACUCGUUUAUUCGAGAGGGCGCCGUCUAAGGUAGGGUCGAUGAUUGGGGUUAAGUCGUAACAAGGUAUCCCUACCGGAAGGUGGGGAUGGAUCA